rnacentral:pre_miRNA from 1 species
AGUAGAAUUGCUAGAUUAUAUGGUGAAUGUGUUUUUCAACUUUGAAAGAAACUGCCCAAGUGCUUUCCAAAGUGGCUGUGCCAUUUACGUUUCCACUAGCGAU